UACGUAGGUGGCAAGCGUUGUCCGGAUUUACUGGGCGUAAAGAGCGCGCAGGCGGUCGUUCAAGUCGCGUGUGAAAGCCCCCGGCUCAACUGGGGAGGGUCACGCGAUACUGAUCGACUGGAAGGCAGGAGAGGGUAGUGGAAUUCCCGGUGUAGUGGUGAAAUGCGUAGAUAUCGGGAGGAACACCGGUGGUGUAGACGGCUCACUGGACCGUAACUGACGCUGAGACACGAAAGCGUGGGUAGCAAACAGG
rnacentral:rRNA from 1 species